UACGUAGGCAGCAAGCGUUGUUCGGAAUUACUGGGCGUAAAGAGUGUGUAGGCGGUGCUCUAAGUUUGGUGUGAAAUCUCCCGGCUCAACUGGGAGGGUGCGCCGAAAACUGGAAUGCUUGAACGUGGGAGAGGAAAGCGGAAUUCCUGGUGUAGCGGUGAAAUGCGUAGAUAUCUGGAAGAACACCAAAGGCGAAGGCAGUGUCCUGGGUGGUCGCUGACGCUGAGAGGCGAAAGCCAGGGGAGCGAACGGG
rnacentral:rRNA from 1 species